AUCUGACCUGCCGCCCCUCAAGUGCACUUAGAGAAGAAGACAACUGGUAUUGAAAUUGAAUCCUCAGGAUACGACCGGAAGUUCUCCUCGAUCUCCUCCUCGAGUGACCGUCGUGCCUGACGACUCGGCAAUGGCUGCCCUGGCUUCAUCUGAUCCCUAGGUCAUCUCUUCAACACGGUCGGUCCCAGCUACCAGUACAAUGAAAAAAAAGAUAUUGACCAAGGGGAAGAAGUCGGACAUCCUUUCGAGCAUUCCGG